rnacentral:rRNA from 12 species
CGUACCUUUUGUAUAAUGGGUCAUCGACUUGGUCUUACGAGCAAGCUUAAGCCGUUAGGUGUAGGCGCAGCGAAAGCGAGUCUUAAUAGGGCGACUAAGUUUGUUGGAUUAGACCCGAAACCGAGUGAUCUAGGUAUGAGCAGGUUGAAGGUGCAGUAACAUGCACUGGAGGACCGAACCCACGUCUGUUGAAAAAGACGGGGAUGACUUGUGCCUAGGGGUGAAAGGCCAAUCAAACUCGGAGAUAGCUGGUUCUCUGCGAAAUCUAUUUAGGUAGAGCGUCAUCCGAAUACCCCGGGGGGUAGAGCACUGGAUGGGUAAUGGGGCCCCACAGGCUUACUGAUCCUAACCAAACUCCGAAUACCCGGGAGUACUAGAUGGCAGACACACUGCGGAUGCUAACGUCCGUAGUGGAGAGGGAAACAACCCUGACCUCCGGCUAAGGCCCCUAAUUCAUGGCUAAGUGGGAAAGCAGGUGGGAUGUCCAAAACAACCAGGAGGUUGGCUUAGAAGCAGCCACCCUUUAAAGAAAGCGUAAUAGCUCACUAGUCGAGUCGGCCUGCGCGGAAGAUGUAACGGGGCUAAGCAAUAUACCGAAGCUGCGGCAGCAAGUUUACUUGCUGGGUAGGGGAGCGUUGUGUAAGUGGAUGAAGGUGAGUUGUAAAGCUUGCUGGACAUAUCACAAGUGCGAAUGCUGACAUGAGUAACGACAAUG